rnacentral:misc_RNA from 1 species
AUAAAUCGGAUGGGCAUUUCUUGGUGCGGGAGGCUACUACUCCCGGGGACUAUACCCUGACCCUCAGGAAAGGGGGAACCAACAAACUGAUCAAAAUCUACCACAAGGAUGGGAAAUACGGCUUUGUGGAGCCGCUGACAUUUGAUUCUGUGGUGGAGUUGGUACAGUUCUACAAGAAUACCUCACUAGCUAUAUAUAACAAGACUCUGGAUACCAAGUUAUUACACCCCGUCUCCAAUAGGAACCAACAGGACGGGCCCUCAUUGGUGGACAAGACGGAACUUAUGGAGAAGUUGAAGCAGGUUCACAAUGAGCACCAGACCAAGAUGGAGGAGUAUGACCGUCUGUACGAGACUCACUCCAAGCUCAACCAGGAGCUACAGCUGAAGCACCAGGCGCUCGAUGCAUUCAAGGAGACGGUGAUCGUGUUCAAGGAGCAGAUGGAGCUACACCGGCGCCACCACGGGGACGUUCCCGUCCAGGAACUACAAAAAUUAGGAGAAAAUUACGAAUUACUGAAAAGUCGUUGGCUCAGUAUACAGGAGAGUAAACAGGCCCUGGAAAUAGACAUCAACAAGAAGACGGUGCUCAACCGCUCACUGAUCAGCGACAUGAACAGUCUCCGACCCGAAAUCAAGCGGCUCCACAAACACCGAGAGCAGAUCAGGAAGCUCCUACAGGAAAACGGCAUUUCCAUGGAACAUCUGGACGACAUCCUGGAGAACCAGCCCUCCCAGGGAUCGGAACCCGGCCGGAACAACGUCAAGUCCAUGAACCUGUGGUACGUGGAAGUCUCAAGACACGAUGCCGAGAACCUGCUCCGAAACCAGAGGGACGGAACAUUUCUAAUCCGGAAAAGGGACGAUCCAUCAGACCCCAGCAGCAAGAACGCCUUAUCCAUUGUGUGAGUGCAAUGGAAUUGUUGGACAUUGUAAGAUCUACCAGAACAACAAUGGAUGUUAUGGAUUUACGGAGGGAAACUUGGACAAGUCGUCAUUGGUCGAAUUAGUGGAUCACUACAGCCGCGAGUCACUGAAGGAGCACAAUCCAACGCUGGACAUCCGUCUGUUGUACCCGGUGUUUGAAGGGCACGAUGACAAUGCUGGGGUCUAUCUCCACAUGCAGCACGACUGAGCACACUGCCAGAGACUGCAUAAUCCACCCCAAAUCCUGCAGCACGCAGGUGCUACCCAACUUCUAAUGUCUUUCAUUGUUGGUUGACCUACCAAGGGUCACCACGACAACUCGAGUAUUUGUGCUCAGCGAAUCGUCGCAGAAUUGACAUAAUGGCAGUUUGUGCUUAGAAUUUAUCUGGGAGUUGCUGCGUUCAAAAAUGUGAUAUGAUCCAAAAGACAAAAAAACAUACACAAGAUGUGAGGAAUCAAGUGCUAGUCAAAUAACGUAUAAAUGGCUGACAGAUUGGUGUGCGUGAUUUCAUGGAGUGACAGAAGUGUGCGUGCUUCCUCUGGAAAACGGGGAAUUUUAUUUACAUUGAAUUUUUUUUAUAUCAAUUCAGCAUUAAACUAUCCAUUAUUCUACGUUUAUUGUGUCAAUAUUCAUACUGGACUACAACACAGGGCUGGGCCUACAACAGUCAAAGACUGGCACCGGCCCGUGUCUCCCCCUAAAAAACUCUGGAAUUACCCCCAUCUACUGAUACUAAGACUCAUCUGGUCUAGAUGCAGUGUAUAUUUUAUCAAGAUUUUAUUCUUGUAACAAGUGCUGUUAUUCGCCGCCAUUGUUAGUGGUCCUCUGCGGACCGGGCUGUUCAUCAUCCUGUGUAACACUAGGCCAUCCUUCUUUGUUGUAUAUCAUUAGUGCCAUCUGGUGCCUGUCUUACAGAGACACCUGCUGGUCAUAAUAAAAUUAUGUGCUUAU